rnacentral:rRNA from 1 species
GACAGAGGUCCCGAGCGUUAGGCGGAAUCACUGGGCUUAAAGCGUGUGUAGGCGGAUGCCUAAGUACCUUGUGAAAUCCCACGGCUCACCCGUGGAACUGCUUGGUAUACUGGGUGUCUUGAGCCACUUAGGGGCUACCGGAACAAAUGGUGGAGCGGUGAAAUGCGUAGAUAUCAUUUGGAACGCCAAUGGUAAAAACAGGUAGCUGGGAGUGUGCUGACGCUGAGACACGAAAGCCAGGGGAGCAAACGGG